rnacentral:lncRNA from 1 species
CCCUUGCUGCAACCACUAUUUUUCCAUGAGCUUUUGAUUUCCACGCCAUAGGCUUUUCAUGCACUUGGCUCUUGAUUUUCAUGCACUGUUACUGGGUUUCGUGAUGAACCCUUUGCUGUGGAAUUUAUAGCCAUAAAAUCCUAAGGCCAGUCAAGUCCUAUUUGGACUCUUUUUCCUUUCUUUCUUAUUUUGGUAUGACAGGUCCCAUCACAAGUGGGAACAACAUCAUCAACAAAUCAUCCCCUCAUGUCCAUGUAGGAGAACCAGCAAACCAGCACUAGCUCUACAGCCUGUAAGCUUCUCUAUGGGCAAUGGCUUAGUCAGCACGCCUGAAACAUUGUCAUAUGUGUGAAUCUUCUUCAGCUAUAACAACUUCAUCUGCAAAGCAUCCCAUAUCUAAUAAUAUUUCGCAUCAAUGUGCUUCGACCUCGAAUGAGA